GUCAGUAGUCUUGAGACUCCUCUUCCGCUCCUGCUUUGAAUCUUCAAUGAUCCUCAAGUUGCUUCAAUCUCCAACAAUCCAAUAUAAACUAGGAUUUAUGUUCUAGUCUAAUCUAUCUAAUCUCCCUUAUUCUAUGCCUUACAUCAUGUAUUUAUAGGUUAAAAGUCUAAUUUUUGGCUUAGGAACAAACCCAAUCCAAUUUGGAGUCAGAAAAGUGUCAAAAUUCACCCCAAAACGCGUCCAAGCCUGACCAAUCCCUUCCCCAGCGCAUCGACGCUGGGCACGGCGCUGGAAAACUGCUCCCUAGCGCCCCGGCGCUGGAACAUUUUCUGAAAUUUUUUGCUCUGACGUCCUUUGUGAAAAUGGCCAUAACUUCUUCGUCCGAACUUCGAAUUCGAUGAUUCAAGAUGUUCCGGAAAGAGGAGACGUAGAUCUACAACUUUCAUUCUUUGAGGUUUUCGAAAUAAGGUCCGGACCAAUACUCAAAUUGGCUUUGAAGUUGGUGCUAUGUAAAUGGCAAGCCGAAAACGCGAAUCUAGCCCCCCAAACGUCGAUCCAAGUAACUUUUGUCCUAAUUCCUACAAAACAACAUAAAACAUGCAUGAAUAGACACAAACACUUAAAAUCAACGUAAAAAAUGCAUGAAUAGACACAAACACUUAAAACUUCCAAAAGAUUAAACUCAAACGCACUCAAUUCAUGGGUAUAAAACUCAUUCAUCAGUGUUCAAUGCAGUCUUACAACUUUCUACAAACAUUAUUAGACCGGAUGUCAAUUAUAAUAACGGAGCACAAUAUUUUCAUGUGCCGCAAAAUGACUCUUUUUCUCUUAAUUAAAGUGUAUAUUAAUUAUACAUGUUGUAUGAAGGUUUUCUUUUCUAUAUUUUAUUAUAAUUGUAUUGGAGUAAUUGAUGGUACACAUAUAAAAGCUGGACUUCCAAAAGGGCAAGAAAUUUCAUACAUUGGGAGAAAAUGCAUUCCUACACAAAACAUAAUGGAUGUAUGUGAUUUUAACAUAUGUUUUAUAUUUGUAUGGCAUGGAUGGGAGGGUAAUGCUCAUGACAAUCGUAUAUUCACACAAGCACUUAUAAGCGAAUAGCUCAAAUUUCGCACCCAACUAGUGGUAUGAUCUCAUAUUUUUAUAUUUUAUUUGUUUAAUUUUAUAUAACAAAUUUUAUUGAUUAAAUUAGCUUAUUGUAUUUUCUUUAUAGAUAAAUAUUCGGUACCUCAUUAUAGAUGGGAAUGGAUACUUGUAAUCAAAGAAUAGAUUGAAUAAAAUUCAAGAACUUGCUUGUACAAAAUUUAGGAAGUUAUAGAUAGAAUAUUUGCUUACAAAGAUCCAUUGCAUAAAAUAAAUGUAAAGGUUAAGAUACUUGCUCAAUAAAGAGUAAGAUUUAGAUACUUGCCUUGACUGUGAACUAUUGAUAAAAAUUCUGCUCAACUUCCUUUCACAGAUCCUAUACAAUCAUAUUCACACAUACAAACAUAUUAGCCAUGUAUCCACAUCAUAUAGUUUGUAUGUUUAUAUAUUACAUAAUCACAGUGGCCAUGUUUUUACUUUUGAGAAACUUCUAUACAUUUUUCAAAUACCUCAUCAUUUUACUACAAUAACCAUUUUUCUCUUUAAUAGAGUUUGAUAUAAUCUCAGUUCAUGAAUUCCACAUACUUUUAGUUUAUAAUCCUUUUGUAAUUUAAUACAUGAGAAUUACAUACUUCUUAUGUAUAACUCAAGCACACAUGGUGAAUACUUGAUUCAUUUUGUGUGUUGGCGUAGUUAUAACUUGUAUAGGUCGAUCAUAGAUUUAUUUCUUACAAGCUAAUGCAUUAAAACUAGCAUGCCUCAACCCAACGUCAAAACAGCCCCUUGAUGCCACGCCAACAGGCAAGCUUUGCUUGGCCCUGUGGGGCUCAGCUGGGCUUGGUGUGGCCUCGCUUGGCCCUGCAUCCCCAAACAUAGCCUAACAGCCCCUAACUUACUAUGCCCCUCCUUGCAAAUUCUAUCUUUUACAUUACCCAUCUAAUUGAGUUGUGGAUUUGCUAUAUAUUCAUACUUGCUUAUUUAGGAGUUGGACAUUAAACUUUAUGGGUAAACUUUUAAACUACGCCAUAAAGCCAAAAAUGGUUGGCCCAAAGCUGCUAUAGCAGCUCUCUACUGCUGUCAUUUAGGCAGCAGUCCCUGCUCCUUAUCUUACGUACUUUCAUCUCCUUAUUUACUAAUUCGGUUGCAAAGGACUUUUGGUAAUUGGAAAUGAUAUAACCACCUAUUAGAAUAACCCAUAAACUACAGAGAAUACAUAAUCUACAUGAACCAAAAUGUUUGCCAAAAACAGCCUCUGCUGUUGCAAAUUGAAGAUUGCUGCCAAUGGCAGCAACUCCUUUCUCUUAGCUUCCAUGUCACUAAUUUUUAUAUUACAAUCUAAUCACUUUAAUAUGCUAAAUUUUUGGAGACAAUAUAGUUAAUAUACUCACUUAUUUUAAAAAAAUACUAAGUAAGUUUUUGAACAACUUAGCUUUGUCAACUGAGAGCUCAAAUUAAAAGAGCCCCCAGCCCAAACAACCCGCUGCUAUUGUUGCUGCCAUAGGCAGUAGCCCUGCACCUAUUAUGGCCAAUUCUCUAUUUUCCUACUUCUAAUUCAUAUGACGGUUUACAUCCAUUUUUAAAUAUGUUGUACCUAGCAUAUGAGAGUAUUUUUCAAAAUUAUAAAGCCUCCCUUUCAGACUCAUUAAGCUGCCCAACACAGCGCUCAAAAAUUAUGUUUUUUUUUAUAAAAAAAAAACAAAAAAAUUACAGGGUGAGCUUGGGGUAAGUUCAAUAAGGGUGAGCUUAAGAUUCUUGCUCAUUAUAUGUAAUAUAUAAAUCUAUCCCAAGCCUUUUUUCUAUCUAAUAUUUGAUUUUUAGUCAAAACAGUCCAUAUAGGACUUUUAUCGAGCAAGUUGUGAGCACUGUUUUGAAAUCUUCUUUUCAUAGCCGUUUGUUUACUCUUCAAUCCCAUUUUAGUCUCCUUAUAACAUCACACAACACAACCAACCUAUCUCCUUUAUUCUAAUUCAAACAACAAAAAUCCAAAACACAAUCAAAUUUAUGCUUAACCAAGUAACUAGCACACUAACUAGUUUAUUUCCUUUUUAUUACAAUUCUUUCGAUUCCCACAUAGCUAUACAAUAUGUCAAUCCUUAUGAUAAUGCAUACCUUGCAUCCAGUUUUAACACUGUUUUACACCAUCAAUUACAUCUAAACUUAUAAAUUACUAACUAAUCAUACAUGAAUCACUUUGGUCUAACAUUGCACUUCUGAUAAAAAUGUAAUCAGGCAAGUUGCAAUACCUUAUACUUGCUUAGCUUAAUCUCGGCUGUCUCAACCAAUACUUGAAGCUUUAAUUUUCAUUAUAUAUUAUCAAUCUCACUCAAACAGCUCCUGCUAAAGAAAUCCCCGUCACACAUAUGGCCUUUAACUUGGUUACAGCUAUAUGAUCCGAAACCUUUACGUAGUACAAGGAAAUUUUUCGUCAGAAAUAAGUUAUUUCUCACCGACAAUUCCAUCUGAAAUAAUUUUUAUUUUAUUUUUUAAAAAUAUUUUUUUUCUUUUUUCUUGUUUUUAUAUGGCCAUAUAUAGUCAUCAGAUAUUAAUUUUAUCAUAUGGUCCAAAUUUAUUUUUGUGAUUUUAUCGGGUAAGCCCAAGCCCAAAAUAAAUUAGCGGGUUGUUAAACUUAUAAAUAUUAUAAUUGACUGAACCAUAUC
rnacentral:lncRNA from 1 species